CAUUUUGGUCCUUGACGCACUAUUGUUUAUAGCCCAAGUUACACAUGCAAGCCUCCGCACACCAGUGAGGAAACCCAGCAGACUCUUAUUAGAGCCAAGGAGAUGGCAUCAGGCACGCCACGCACAGCCAACUACGCCACGCAAAUUGCCACACCCACAAGGGACUCAGCAGUGAACAACAUUAAUACAUAAGUGAAAACUUGAUUUAGUUAGGGUUAAUAUUGGCCGGUCAAUCUUGUGCCAGCCACCGCGGUUAUACAAGAGGCUAAAAACAAAAGCACCUGGCGUAAAGAGUGAUCAAAGUGAAACCCGCACAUUAAGGGGGAAUCAGUUCUAAGCAGUGAAACCCAUAAGAAGCAAGAAUACCUUACAACCCUUAACAAAAAGAUAGCUUUAACUCACGAAAGUUGAGAUACAAACUGGGAUUAGAUACCCCACUAUGCCCAACCCUAAAUUUAGAUAGCCAAAAACCUUAGGCUGUUCGCCCGGGAACUACAAGCAAAAGCUAGAAACCCAAAGGACUUGGCGGUGCCCUACACCAAACUAGAGGAGCCUGUCCCAUAAUCGAUAAUCCACGAUAGACCUUACCACCUUUUGAUAGUUCAGUCUAUAUACCGCCGUCGCCAGCCUACCUCAUGAGAGCACAAACGUGGGCACAAUAGUACACGCAAGCACGCCAGGUCAAGGUGUAGCUAACAGGGUGGUGGAGAUGGGCUACAUUUCCAACCGGAUAAUACACGAAAGGCCCACUGAAAACAGACCAGAAGGUGGAUUUAGCAGUAAAAUAGACAAGAUAUGCUACUUGAAGCGCGCCCUGGGGCACGCACACACCGCCCGUCACCCUCCUCAACGCAUCAUGACCUUUAAACCUAUACAACUAACGCAACAAGAUGAGGCA
rnacentral:ncRNA from 1 species